UUCUCAUUCGAUCGCAGAAGUUAAGCAGCAUCCAGCUCGGUCAGUACUUAGAUGGGGGACCGCGUGGGAACACUGAGUACUGUAA